rnacentral:rRNA from 1 species
GUGCCAGCAGCCGCGGUAAUACGUAGGUGGCAAGCGUUGUCCGGAAUUACUGGGCGUAAAGGGUGCGCAGGCGGACAUUUAAGUGAGAUGUGAAAUACCCGGGCUUAACCCGGGCAGUGCAUUUGAGACUGCAUAUCUAGAGUGCAGGAGAGGAAAGCGGAAUUCCUAGUGUAGCGGUGAAAUGCGUAGAUAUUAGGAAGAACACCAGUGGCGAAGGCGGCUUUCUGGACUGUAACUGACGCUGGUGCAUGAAAGCGUGGGGAGCAAACAGGAUUAGAUACCCUGGUAGUCCACGCCGUAAACGAUGGGUACUAGGUGUGGGAGGUAUCGACCCCUUCCGUGCCGCAGUAAACACAAUAAGUACCCCACCUGGGGAGUACGGUCGCAAGAUUAAAACUUAAAGGAAUUGGCGG